AUUGAACGCUGGCGGCAUGCCUUACACAUGCAAGUCGAACGGCAGCAUAGGGGCUUGCUCCUGAUGGCGAGUGGCGAACGGGUGAGUAAUAUAUCGGAACGUGCCCUAGAGUGGGGGAUAACUAGUCGAAAGACUAGCUAAUACCGCAUACGAUCUACGGAUGAAAGUGGGGGAUCGCAAGACCUCAUGCUCCUGGAGCGGCCGAUAUCUGAUUAGCUAGUUGGUGGGGUAAAAGCCUACCAAGGCGACGAUCAGUAGCUGGUCUGAGAGGACGACCAGCCACACUGGGACUGAGACACGGCCCAGACUCCUACGGGAGGCAGCAGUGGGGAAUUUUGGACAAUGGGGGCAACCCUGAUCCAGCAAUGCCGCGUGAGUGAAGAAGGCCUUCGGGUUGUAAAGCUCUUUUGUCAGGGAAGAAACGGUAGUAGCUAAUAUCUAUUACUAAUGACGGUACCUGAAGAAUAAGCACCGGCUAACUACGUGCCAGCCGCCGCAGUAACAC
rnacentral:rRNA from 1 species